GACGUAGGGGCGAGCGUUGUCCGGAAUUACUGGGCGUAAAGAGCACGUAGGCGGGAACUUAAGUCAGGUGCGAAAGACCGUGGCUCAACCACGGGUAUGCAUUUGAAACUGGGUUUCUUGAGGGCAGGAGAGGAAAGCAGAAUUCCUGGUGUAGCGGUGAAAUGCGUAGAAAUCAGGAGGAAUACCAGUGGCGAAGGCGGCUUUCUGGACUGACCCUGACGCUGAGGUGCGAAAGCGUGGGUAGCAAACAGGAUUAGAUACCCCGGUAGUCCCUGAG
rnacentral:rRNA from 1 species